UGGGGAAUUUUGGACAAUGGGGGAAACCCUGAUCCAGCCAUCCCGCGUGUGCGAUGAAGGCCUUCGGGUUGUAAAGCACUUUUGGCAGGAAAGAAACGUCGCGGGUUAAUACCCCGCGAAACUGACGGUACCUGCAGAAUAAGCACCGGCUAACUACGUGCCAGCAGCCGCGGUAAUACGUAGGGUGCAAGCGUUAAUCGGAAUUACUGGGCGUAAAGCGUGCGCAGGCGGUUCGGAAAGAAAGAUGUGAAAUCCCAGAGCUUAACUUUGGAACUGCAUUUUUAACUACCGGGCUAGAGUGUGUCAGAGGGAGGUGGAAUUCCGCGUGUAGCAGUGAAAUGCGUAGAUAUGUGGAGGAACACCGAUGGCGAAGGCAGCCUCCUGGGAUAACACUGACGCUCAUGCACGAAAGCGUGGGGAGCAAACAGGAUUAGAUACCCUGGUAGUCCACGCCCUAAACGAUGUCAACUAGCUGUUGGGGCCUUCGGGCCUUGGUAGCGCAGCUAACGCGUGAAGUUGACCGCCUGGGGAGUACGGUCGCAAGAUUAAAACUCAAAGGAAUUG
rnacentral:rRNA from 1 species